rnacentral:lncRNA from 1 species
AAAAUUGCUUCUUAAUUAAUGUUUGCUUUGCAACUGACUCAAGCAAAAAGUUUAUAGUGUGUAGAAAUGCAUUUGGAGAAGGCAGUGGCACCCCACUCCAGUACUCUGGCCUGGAAAAUCCCGUAAAUGGAGGAGCCUGGUAGGCUGCGGUCCAUGGGGUCACUAAGAGUCGGACACGACUAAGCAACUUCACUUUCACUUUUCACUUUCAUGCAUUGGAGAAGGAAAUGGCAAGCCACUUCAGCUUUCUUGCCUGGAGAAUCCCAGGGAUGGGGGAGCCUGGUGGGCCACCGUCUAUGGGGUUGCACAGAGUCGGACACGACUGAAGCGACUUAGCAGCAGCAGCAGCAGCAGAAAUGAAUUGCCAUAAAUGACAACUGGAACUCCCUUCUUCAGGGUCAAGUGCAGCCUUUUAGAGAGAAGUAUUUGUAGAAGGAGCAGAUCUGCUUCUGAUUUUAGUUCACCCAGAGGCAUGCAGGCUUUUUGGAUCAAUUAUUACCAGACCUUGAGAUAAAUCACCUUCUGUGCCAUUAGUACUUGAAGGAUUAGUGCCCUCAAAAGAUUUAUGUGCGGAUUAAUUGGGGAGUGUACAUUAGAUUGCUGUGUUUAGAACCACCAUCAUCCUGCAAAUCAUUUUCAUUAGUGCUUUAUUCAAAAUUCUCUAGCCUUAUAUAAUACUGGCAUUGCAGGGAAAUCUGAACAAGGCUUUUAUUUAUUUAUUUGUUUGUGGUUUGGCCUUGGCCUCGCCCCCACGCCUUACCCCCUACAGUAGAGUUUAAUAGCACUGGCUGGGGAUGCACUGAGCAUCUAAAAGUAGAGCAGCUUCCAGUGUUGCAAAGAUUACUUCAUCGGCUUCAGCGGAACACUGCCCCAAAUUUCCUUGACCUUGUACUGAGAGGGACAAGAUGAGGUACAAGAAAUAUAUGACUAUUCUGGAAGCAGCAGUGGGCAUCACUCCACUGAACAAAAGAGAACUUCUACCUGAGAGCAGAAGACACGUGAACCUUUGGCAGCAACCUGGGGUGCGAAGUACUACCUUGCUGUCAUCUCCUUGUGAGUGGGAUUGGCAUCCCAGCUGCAACUCUUGGCACAAGUGCUCCAGGAAACACAGACACGUGCCAACAGACAGCCUGCUUUACCAGGCAUGUGGGAAACUGGACUGGAAACUUUCCCUGCAUUGGAAAGCCAAGUUGAACCAUUGGACCACCAGGGAAGUCCCGGGAGUGCCUUCAUGAUUCUAAUCCACCACCCAGUGUACAGGCCAACUCAAUUGCUUAGUUAGCCUGGAAACUUUUCAUGUCGGGUUCUUUUGCUCCCAUGUAAUGAUACGUUAUAAAAUCAUGUUGCAAGUAUGUAUGUGUGUGUGUGUGUUUAUCCCCAAAUCUUAAUGUUCUUGAGGAAAUCUGAUUAAAAGUGUUUAGUUUUUUACAGUUAUUUCAGGUCCUCUGACCCUGCUUUAAAGACUUUAUACACUGUAAUACAUAAUGACAAGUGUUAAAACAUUUCAUAAACAAUAACUACAAUUAAAAAAUAAAAGUAUACACAGUCCUCACCAUUAAUCAAAUCAUAUUCUCAUAUACUUUCCAAUUCUUUUAUAUAUAUAUAGUAAUUUUUUGUUAUUGCCAUCAGGAUAGAUAGUGUUUUUGUUUGGUUGUUUUUUUUCCCCGCACUGUGUGCUUGUGAGAUCUUAGUUCCCCAGCCAGCCUGGGCCGUGACAGUGAAAGUGCAAAGUCCUAACUGCUGGACUGUCAGGGGACUCCCGAGGAUAGAUGCUAUUUGUACUCUUUCUCAUUGGUUAUUAUAUUGUUAUUAUCCUUGUUGCUCCACAGACUUCCUUAUAUAAUUUUGAAUGAUGACUUGCUAUGCCCAUUAAUUUGAUCUGCUGUAGUUUAACAGUUCUCCAGCCUUGGACAGCGAUGGUUUCCAUCCUAUGUUAUUAUACAUACGAUGAAGCGCUGCCCCACCUCCCAGUCACCUGCUGUCAUCUAACCUCCAAUCCUGUCUUGUUAUUGAGACAGCUCUGGCCAGGAUGAUCUGUGGUUCUCGGUGAACAUCUUCUGUUCUUAACUGAACUCUUCAAAGUUCCAUGUUGGCUGUUCUUCCCUUCUUGAAAUUCAUUCUUCUUUUGACUUUUUGGACACCUUACUGCAGUGGAUUUUUUUUUUUUCCCCUUUCUGGCAGUUCCUCUUUUAUCUCUACCCUGGGGUCUUAAGCUUGCCUCCUAAGUAUUGGCAUUCCCUGGAAUCUUCCCUAAGUAUUGGCAUACCCUUAUUCUUUUCCUGCCUCAGUUUUUGUCAUGUCUCUGAAUACUCUCAUUACCUCCCAUGACAUCAGCUUUCCUGAUACACUGGCAAUUUCAAAUCUCUUCCUCUACCGCAAACCUCUCUACCUAAGAUCUCGUUAAUGCCUGGCACAUAGUAGACACUUGAACAUCUCCACCUGGAGGACCCAUGACCCUCAAAACUCAAUCAGUCCCUAACUAAACUCACUAUCCUUCCUCAAGCCCCUCCCAAGAUCUGUUCCCAUUCCUUUGUUUCCUAUUUUGGCAAAAGACACUGUCAUCUACUUAGUUAAGCCAGAAACCUGAGAGUCACCUUAGACUCACUUCCCUCUUCCUUACCUCAUAUCUGAUCAGGCAGUCACCCAGCCUGCUGAUUCCACUUCCUUCAUCCCUUGAACUGGCCUAUUUUGUCUAACUUCAUAAUCACAUCAUCUCUCACCUGCAUUCCCACAAAAAUCCUUUUUUUUGUUUGCUGUUGGCCUUGUCAUUCUUACUGAUGCCCCUCCCUGCAACCCCCACCCAACUCAUCCAUUUUCUAAGAAGCUGACAGAGCGAUCUUCAAAAAAUGCCAGUCGAAUCCCACUCCUGCAGUGUCACAGUAGACCACAAACUCUGUUUGCCUGAACAACCUUACCUCCUGCUACCUCAACAGCAAGUCUGUGAUCUCUUCCUUUUUCUCCACUUGUUAUUUGUUGUCUUCACCUGGAAAGCUUUCUCCUCUUUUUGUCUCACGAAGUCAUUCCUCCCUGUCCUUUAGAAUGUGUAAGCUGCUGUCUCAUCUCUGGAAAGACUUCACUAAACCCCAUACCCCUGUCUGGGUGAGGAACCCCUCCAGAAAGACCCUAGACUACUCUGAGCUGCCAGGAAUCUUGGUACUUAAAUGGUUUCUUAUAAUUUACUAACUGUCUACUGUAGUAGGCUGAACUCUGAGGCUACAGCCUAACUAAGUCUUGUAUCAGGGGGUUCUGACUUUAUAGAAAGUGUUUAGUAAUUAUUUGUUGGAUAGAAGUUCUUUGGAGAAACAAAAUUCUAGGAAUGGGGUUCACAUGUGCAAGCCCACUUGUGAGAAAUAUGUACUAGUAUAACUUGCUUUUCCAAAGAGUUGUAUAGAUUUAUACUGCCACCAGCAAUGGUACUGUAUCAAUUGAAAGACUUUUUUCAACAUGAGUCAGAACUAUGUAUUGUGUCCGAAUGUUGGUAUUUCUACUAUAAAAGUAUGUCAUCAUUUGGAGUACUGUAAUGUAUUAGAAGGGCUUCCCUGGUGGCUCAGUGAUAAAGAAUCUACCUGCCCAAUCAGGAGACUUGGGUUUGAUCCCUGGAUCCAGAAGAUCCCAUGGAGAGGGAAAUUGCCACCCACUCCAGUAUUCUUGCCUGGGAAAUCCCAGGGACAGAGGAGCCUGGCAGGCUACAGUCCAUGGAGAUGAAAACAGUUGGACAUGCCUUAGCGACUAAUAAAUAGCCACAAUGCAAUAGAACUUUAUGCAGCGAUGGACAUCCUAUAUCUACACUAUUCAAUACGGGAACCACAAAUGUGUGGCUACUGACUGAGCACUGGAGAUAUGACUAACAUGACUAAGAAACUGGACUUUUAGUUUCUUUUAGUUUUAAUUUAAAUUUAAAUGUAUCUGAUACUCACAUGUGACAAGUGGUUAUCAUAUUGGACAAUGCAACUCUAGAGAGAAAAAGGAAAAUCAUUCAGCAGAUAUAAUUGCUACAUUCUGGGUUCCUUUCUUUUUAAAUGCUAGUGGUAUAAGCUCACAUCACUAAGGUGUGACCAGUUCACAUAUGGUGUCAUUGUUAUUAUUAGUCAGCACUGCCUAAUUUGGGAAACAUUUUUUUUUUUAAAUGGUGCUUUCAUCAGGAGAGUAACACCUUACCUCAGGAAUACAACCA